rnacentral:rRNA from 1 species
AUUGAACGCUGGCGGCAGGCUUAACACAUGCAAGUCGAGCGAGAGGCGGACGGGUGAGUAAUGUAUGGGCAACUGCGUGAUGGAGGGGGAUAACUACUGGAAACGGUAGCUAAUACCGCAUACCAUCCGAUGGGCCCAGAUGGGAUUAGGUAGUGGGGGGGGUAAAGGCUCAUCUAGGCGACGAUCCCUAGCUGGUCUGAGAGGAUGACCGGCCACACGGGAACUGAGACACGGUCCAGACUCCUACGGGAGGCAGCAGUGGGGAAUAUUGCACAAUGGGCGAAAGCCUGAUGCAGCAAUGCCGCGUGUAUGAAGAAGGCUUUCGGGUUGUAAAGUACUUUCAGUGGGGAGGCGUUACCCGCCCAGGAAGCAACGGCUAACUCCGUGCCAGCAGCCGCGGUAAUUC